UGACGGAAACGAACCUGGGUCUGUGACUACCGGAAGUAGAGCGCCUACUUCAGUGCGGCCUUGGCAGCUUCGGUGGCUGCUUUUGUCUGGAGGUUCCAGGCGAGCUACUGAGAUGGCGAGCGCAGCGGCGCCGACAGCGGCAGUCCCCACCCCAGCUCCGCCUUUGGAGCAGAUCCGGCACUUGGCAGUGGAGCUGCGGUUGCUCCUGCCUGGAGUACGGGUCGGCGAAGCCCGAGAGACCACCAAGGAGUUUAAUCCUGAGACGUUUUGGAGGAGACUCAACGAGGCAGCUGUGAACGUGUCACGGGAAGCCACAACUCUGACUGAAAUCUUCUCUCGAGUUCCACUGCCUUCUCCACAGGAAACCCAGAGGUUCUGUGAACAAGUCCGUGCUGCCGUCAAGGCAAUCAUUGCUGUGUACUAUUCACUUCCCAAGGAUCAGGGAAUCACCCUGAGAAAGCUGGUACGGAACGCCACUCUGGACAUCGUAGAUGGAAUGGCUCAACUUAUGGAUGUGCUUUUCAUUACUCCAGCUCAGAGCCCAGAGAACAGUGACCUUAUUUCCUACAACAGUGUCUGGACUGCAUGCCAGCAGGUGCCUCGGAUACCAAGAGAUAACAAAGCUGCAGCCCUUUCAAUGCUGACAAAGAAUGUGGAUUUUGUGAAGGAUGCACAUGAGGAAAUGGAGCAGGCUGUGGAAGAAUGUGACCCAUACUGUGGCCUCUUAAAUGACACUGAGGACAACUCUGACAACCCUGGUGAUGAAGAAGAUGACAGGUUGGGGUGUCCAAACAAUCGGGACUUAUAUUGGUCAGAGGAAGAUCAAGAGCUCAUAAUCCCAUGCCUUGCACUGGUGAGAGCAUCCAAAGCCUGCCUGAAGAAAAUCCGGAUCUCAGUGGCAGAGAAUGGGAAGAAAGAUCAGGUGGCCCAGCUGGAUGACAUUGUGGAUAUUUCUGAUGAGAUCAGCCCUAGUGUGGAUGAUUUGGCUCUGAGCAUAUAUCCACCUAUGUGCCACUUGACUGUGCGAAUCAAUUCUGCAAAACUUGUAUCUGUCUUAAAGAAGGCACUUGAAAUUACUAAAGCAAGUCAUGUGACCCCACAGCCAGAAGAUAGUUGGAUCCCUUUACUCAUUAAUGCCGUUGAUCACUGCAUGAACAGAAUCAAGGAACUCACUCAGAAUGAACUUGAAUUAUGGGAAGAUUGAGGCCCAGAGAGUAGAACCAGCUCACCUGAGAUCAUAUUUGGCUCUUUCACCUAAAGGCUCACCAAACCUACGGCACCAUGCAGCCCAGAAAAACUCUCCAAGGAGGGGGCCUGAGAGUAUUAUGAUAGUCUAUCUGGCAGUUCUCAUUUUACAAUGAGUCUUAUAAAUAUAACAAUAGACUUAUGCAGAGGCCCCUGAGCUUUCUGCGUCCUCUGGUUCUGUCUAUUUUCUUGCUUGAUGUUGGCCUCUGCCCCUUGUAUUUGGAUUCCCUGACUUUUACCUCCCCUUCUCUCCCACUUAGCUUUGAGGCUAUGGCACCCUCAUGCUUUCCCAGGAUUAUCUCCUGUAUGUAUCACAACCCAGUGAGAAUGAUCAUGUUGCGAUGCCAUAAAUCCUUGUUAACUGUCACCAUCAUCGUCACAACUAUGACCAUCGAUUUACCACCAACAACCUAUACCGUAUUGCCACCCAUAGCCAUACCACUGCUACCACCACCACAGCACCCACUACCACCCCCCAACAUAGCCCCACCAACCAUUGCAUCCACCACCAGCAGCACCUACUCCCACCCCCACCAUAGCCACACCAUCAUCACUUCCACCACCAUCCUACUUCUCUUAAUGAAAACAUGUUAUGAUGGAGGAGCUACUGAUAGUCAAGUAAGCCCCAUGGAGAAAUGGCUUGGCUCACCCUGUCCCAUGGCUGCAGGCCACACUUCUCUGCUCGACCACAAAAAAUGCCUGUCUUGAACUGUUGCUCUGUGCUGCCUUUCUGAAUCUGUCCUGAGAGAAAAUGAUAGAGGUACUUUCAUUGGCUUAAGAAUCUGCAAAUAGUAGAGUUUCCUUCCACUCCUUCUGUGAGGUCGCCCACAGGUUUCUUUUCUCUUGCUCCCUCCCCAUUGGUAUCUCUUGGGCCAGCUGCUGGUGGGAGUUACCCUUUUUCAUUUUAUCUCUUGUGCCAGGCUGGAGUAGGGGCUGGAAUGGGGGAAGAUCUGUCAGCUAGAGAAGCUAAGAGGAAACUUCUAAGUCUGUCGCUUCAGUGGUCUCAAGAGACCCUCAGAGAUGUUACCUGGACAAUACUGGAAGACUUUGGAAGACAUGACUCCAUAAACAGGAGGCCCACAUUCAACUCCAAAUCUCAGGCUCUAAACAUAUCAGGGCUUCAAGUUGCUAGAUGUUUGUGGCUGUUUUGGUAAUAGAAAGAGAGAAACUGUGUGUCUUGGAUUCAUCUGUGUGAAGCAGAUAAGGAGGUAGAAUUUGUUGGUGAGAAAAAAAUGUCCUAAAAGUAGAAGUCAGAGACCCAGCUCUUCUAAGCCCACUGGGUCUGGGACAGUGUUCCAGAGAAAGUUAGGAACUAUCUUGGGACUCAGAGCCUUUGUCUUUUCUAUUUCUACUUAUUUAGUCACUGAGGAGACAAGACACAGGAAAGGACGUCUUUGGCCCUCUUUGGUUUUCUAAAGCCCAGCAUUUGCUGGGGCUUCUAAGACUGUGCUAAUGGGAGCACUCUCAGGGGCAGCUGUGCUGGCCUGCAUGCAUAUGGGAUAUCUAUAGAAAGAUAUAAAAGAUGCUACAAAGAACAUUGGGUGCCUGUGGAGAGGAGAGCUGGAGAAUGGUGUAGGAAGAUGAUUUUUCUCCUGUUUACAUUUUUACACUUUAAAAAAAAUUUUUUUUAUUAUGAUAUGUUAGUCACCAUACAGUACAUCAUUAGUUUUUGAUGUAGUGCUCCAUGAUUCAUUGUUUGCAUAUAACACCCAGUGUUCCAUGCAAUAUGUGUUCUCCUUAAUACCCAUCACUGGGCUAGCCCCUCCCCCCACCCUCCUCCCCUCUAACUUUGAACCAUUGCCAUUUGAAGAAUCUUAUUAUGUUAAGAAAGAAAGAAAGAAGAAAGAAAGAAAGAAAGAAAGAAGAAAGAAAGAAAGAAAGAAAGAAAGAAAGAAAGAAAGAAAGAAAGAAAGAAAAAGAAAGAAAGGAAAAGAAAAGAAAAGAAAAGAAAGAAGAAAUGAAGCUGCUGCCUUCUUACUCCCCCAAAAAAUGAUCCUUCAUGAGAAAUGAAGAGAUUUGCUUGGACCUGCCUUUGGCCACUCUUGAAGGGGACAGUCUCCAGAGUGAUGCUGGCCCUGUGUUGAGGUUUGAGGACUCCAAUGCUGUAGCAGAGAAAAGAGAAUGUUAGAAGACCAUGUGUGUCAUGAGAACUCCAGAGCUCUUUUUCCCUCAGCAACCAGGGCUUUUCUUUCCUGGUGUUCUUAGAGACUGGCCUCAGUGCCAGUCACCAGAAAGAAGGUUAGCGAAAACCCCAGGAUAAGAUGGGGGCAAAGGCCACGUACUGCCAGCACUCACAGGACUCUCUGCUGUUUCUUGAAGAGCCCGCUUCCUUCCACAGUCAGCACACAGUCUUCCACGUGCUCUGAGAGGGGGUUCGAAAACAGCACCUGGAUGGAGAGUGGCUGGUUCACAACAGCAGCUCCUAAAACCUGAACAGAGAGAUCCAGAGGAGAAGAAGGGAGCAGAAGAUUAAUCUCAUUCCCCAGUUCCUCAUUCCUCAAACAUUUACAGAGGGCAUUGCUCUUCAGAUCUAUUUCCUGAAGACCUGGACUUCUGUGGCCCAUGAUUUUCCAGUUAUGACUUAAAACCAACUCAGUGGGUUGUCAUUAAUGUUUUUAAAAAAUGCAGUGGAAGAAAAUAUCAGUGCAUACCACAUGAGAUACUGUUAUGGAAAACUGUGCUUCAUUUAUACAUUCAUAGAUAUUUGUAUAAAAUGUUUUAUAUCCCUCAA